rnacentral:lncRNA from 1 species
GUGUGUGUGGCAGUUGUGUGUUGCUUUGGGGUGUGCUUGUGUAUAUGUACAGUGUGUGUGACAGUUGUGUUUUGCUGUGGGGGUAUGCUUGUGUAUAUGUACAGUGUGUGUGUGUGUGUGUGUGUGUGUGUGUGUGUGGCAGUUGUGUGUUGCUGUGGGGGUGUGCAUGUGUAUAUUACAGUGUGUGUGGCAGUUGUGUGUUGCUGUGGGGGUGUGCUUGUGUAUAUGUACAGUGUGUGUGUGACAGUUGUGUGUUGCUGUGGGGGUGAG